rnacentral:rRNA from 1 species
CCUACGGGGGGCAGCAGUGGGGAAUAUUGGACAAUGGGGGGAACCCUGAUCCAGCCAUGCCGCGUGUGUGAAGAAGGCCCUCGGGUUGUAAAGCACUUUCAGUGAGGAAGAACGCCUGGUGGUUAAUACCCAUCAGGAAAGACAUCACUCACAGAAGAAGCACCGGCUAACUCCGUGCCAGCAGCCGCGGUAAUACGGAGGGUGCGAGCGUUAAUCGGAAUUACUGGGCGUAAAGCGCGCGUAGGUGGCUUGAUAAGCCGGUUGUGAAAGCCCCGGGCUCAACCUGGGAACAGCAUCCGGAACUGUCAAGCUAGAGUGCAGGAGAGGAAGGUAGAAUUCCCGGUGUAGCGGUGAAAUGCGUAGAGAUCGGGAGGAAUACCAGUGGCGAAGGCGGCCUUCUGGACUGACACUGACACUGAGGUGCGAAAGCGUGGGUAGCAAACAGGAUUAGAUACCCGGGUAGUC